rnacentral:rRNA from 1 species
GGCGGCGUGGAUUAGGCAUGCAAGUCGUGCGAGAAGCCAAUUAGCUUGCUAAGAGGUGGACAGCGGCGAAAGGGGGAGUAACGCGUGGUUACGUGCCCCGAGGUCCAGGAUAGCGUUGGGAAACCGGCGGUAAUACUGGAUGAUAUCUUCGGAUCAAAGGUGUGAUUCCGCCUUGGGAUCGGACCGCGUACUAUUAGCUUGUUGGUGGGGUAAUGGCCUACCAAGGCUGUGAUGGUUACCGGGUGUGAGAGCAUGGCCCGGCUCACUGGGACUGAGAUACGGCCCAGACUCCUUCGGGAGGCAGCAGCUAAGAAUCUUCCGCAAUGGGCGAAAGCCUGACGGAGCGACGCCGCGUGGAUGAUGAAGGCCUUACAGGUUGUAAAAUCCUUUUAUGAGGGAAGAAGAACUGACGGUACCUCAUGAAUAAGCCCCGGCCAAUUACGUGCCAGCAGCCGCGGUAAUACGUAAGGGGCAAGCGUUGUUCGGAAUUAUUGGGCGUAAAGGGCGAGUAGGCGGAUUAUUAAGUCGGGUGUGAAAGGUCUAGAGCUUAACUUAGACAUUGCGCUCGAAACUGGUAGUCUAGAGUUCUGGAGAGGAUAUCGGAAUUCCUGGUGUAGGAGUGAAAUCUAUAGAUAUCAGGAAGAACACCGGUGGCGAAGGCGGAUAUCUAGCCAGAAACUGACGCUGAAUCGCGAAAGCUAGGGUAGCGAACGGGAUUAGAUACCCCGGUAGUCCUAGCCGUAAACGUUGUGUACUAGAUGUC